CCUACGGGUGGCAGCAGUGAGGAAUAUUGGUCAAUGGACGAGAGUCUGAACCAGCCAAGUAGCGUGAAGGAUGACUGCCCUAUGGGUUGUAAACUUCUUUUAUAUGGGAAUAAAAUGUUCCACGUGUGGGAUUUUGUAUGUACCAUAUGAAUAAGGAUCGGCUAACUCCGUGCCAGCAGCCGCGGUAAUACGGAGGAUCCGAGCGUCAUCCGGAUUUAUUGGGUUUAAGGGGAGCGUAGGUGGAUUGUUAAGUCAGUUGUGAAAGUUUGCGGCUCAACCGUAAAAUUGCAGUUGAAACUGGCAGUCUUGAGUACAGUAGAGGUGGGCGGAAUUCGUGGUGUAGCGGUGAAAUGCUUAGAUAUCACGAAGAACUCCGAUUGCGAAGGCAGUUCACUGGACUGCAACUGACACUGAGGCUCGAAAGUGUGGGUAUCAAACAGGAUUAGAUACCCCAGUAGUC
rnacentral:rRNA from 1 species